CCUACGGGUGGCAGCAGUGGGGAAUAUUGCGCAAUGGGCGAAAGCCUGACGCAGCGACGCCGCGUGAGGGAUGAAGGUCUUCGGAUCGUAAACCUCUGUCAGCAGGGAAGAACGGUCACUGUGCUAAUCAGCAGUGAAUUGACGGUACCUGCAAAGGAAGCACCGGCUAACUCCGUGCCAGAAGCCGCGGUAAUACGGAGGGUGCGAGCGUUAAUCGGAAUUACUGGGCGUAAAGCGCACGUAGGCGGUAUGUUAAGUUAAGGGUGAAAUCCCCGCGCGCAACGUGGGAACUGCCUUUGAAACUGGCAAACUGGAGUGUGUGAGAGGAGAGUGGAAUUCCAGGUGUAGGAGUGAAAUCCGUAGAUAUCUGGAGGAACAUCAGUGGCGAAGGCGACUAUCUGGAACAUAACUGACGCUGAGGAGCGAAAGCGUGGGUAGCAAACAGGAUUAGAUACCCUAGUAGUC
rnacentral:rRNA from 1 species